rnacentral:rRNA from 1 species
GACAGAGGGUGCAAACGUUGUUCGGAUUUACUGGGCGUAAAGCGCGUGUAGGCGGCUUUGCAAGUCGGAUGUGAAAGCCCACGGCUCAACCGUGGAAGUGCAUCCGAAACUGCAAGGCUCGAGUAUGGAAGAGGGUCGCAGAAUUCCCGGUGUAGAGGUGAAAUUCGUAGAUAUCGGGAGGAAUACCAGUGGCGAAGGCGGCGACCUGGGCCAAUACUGACGCUGAGGUGCGAAAGCGUGGGGAGCAAACAGG